rnacentral:rRNA from 1 species
CGAACGAUGAUGCCCAGCUUGCUGGGCGGAUUAGUGGCGAACGGGUGAGUAAUACGUGAGUAACCUGCCCUUGACUCUGGGAUAAGCCUGGGAAACUGGGUCUAAUACUGGAUACUACCUCUUACCGCAUGGUGGGUGGUGGAAAGGGUUUUACUGGUUUUGGAUGGGCUCACGGCCUAUCAGCUUGUUGGUGGGGUAAUGGCUCACCAAGGCGACGACGGGUAGCCGGCCUGAGAGGGUGACCGGCCACACUGGGACUGAGACACGGCCCAGACUCCUACGGGAGGCAGCAGUGGGGAAUAUUGCACAAUGGGCGGAAGCCUGAUGCAGCGACGCCGCGUGAGGGAUGACGGCCUUCGGGUUGUAAACCUCUUUCAGUAGGGAAGAAGCGAGAGUGACGGUACCUGCAGAAGAAGCGCCGGCUAACUACGUGCCAGCAGCCGCGGUAAUACGUAGGGCGCAAGCGUUGUCCGGAAUUAUUGGGCGUAAAGAGCUCGUAGGCGGUUUGUCGCGUCUGCUGUGAAAGCCCGGGGCUCAACCCCGGGUCUGCAGUGGGUACGGGCAGACUAGAGUGCAGUAGGGGAGACUGGAAUUCCUGGUGUAGCGGUGAAAUGCGCAGAUAUCAGGAGGAACACCGAUGGCGAAGGCAGGUCUCUGGGCUGUUACUGACGCUGAGGAGCGAAAGCAUGGGGAGCGAACAGGAUUAGAUACCCUGGUAGUCCAUGCCGUAAACGUUGGGCACUAGGUGUGGGGGACAUU